AUAAAAUGAUUCCCUUUUCCUAAGCAUAAAAAAAAAAAAAAAAAGAUUCAUUUCAAGAAACCAAUUAAAGAAUUUGAGGAAAUUCUUUUAAAGCAUGUUUAUAAAAAGUGUGUGAGAUGGCUGUUGAAAAAUAGAAAUAUCAAUCAUCAACUUUAUUUUCUGUGAUGUCAUAACUGUGUAUUAAAAAACAAAACAAAAAAAACCAAUAUAGGCAGCUAUAGAAUCCUACAAUUGUUGGUUGUGCUUGUCAUUUCUCUGAUAUAUUUUUAAAACAUUUAUCAAUAUUUCAUUAUAAGAUUUACAUCUUUUAAAUAUUUUUUUUCUCAGUUUUAAGAUAGUCUAGUUUAUAACCUUCAAAAAUGUACAUAUGUUAAAAUGAUUUUUUUUCUACCACAAAUAAUCACUUACCUUAAAGCAAACUUGAGCAGAUUAGGACUGACUGCUUCACAUAAAGACAACAGAGCCGAAUCAAUGACAAUGAUCUGCAAGUCUCUAAAAUUAUUACUGUAUACAUCUGGUGUGUUGCAAUUAAAAAAAAAUCAAAUGGCAUUUUAAAGACUUCAUUUUAUUUAAAUAUUUCAUUGUUGAGUUCAAGUCAUUGUCAAACCUAUUCAACAUUUCAUUCAAUAACCAAUAAAGAGACAUCCACUAAUUUUAUCAAUGAACACAUAUAUUUCUGUGGUAACAAAAUGUCUCCACAAGAGUUCAACUUAUUCUCUUUAUGAAGGAUAUCUAUAUAUAUAGCCUACCAAUAGUUUAUUGUUCUAUUUGUAUAUUUCCUUAUUACUUUGUGAGUUUGUCAAGUUGGAUAAGUGGAAAACAGAAAAAGAAUUUUUAACACUUUCAUUAUCUACAUUUGUUCUCUUGAUUCUUAUUGUCUUAAUGAUUUCAAAUAGAAUUCAGAAAAUACAUUAAGUGUAGACACUGUAAAGGCAUAGUGAGCAUAGCUGGCGCGCGGUUCACGGUAUUCCCCCCCC